UACGUAGGGUGCGAGCGUUAAUCGGAAUUACUGGGCGUAAAGUGUGCGCAGGCGGCCGAGCAAGUCGAGUGUGAAAGCCCCGGGCUUAACCUGGGAACUGCGCUCGAAACUACUUGGCUGGAGUGUGGCAGAGGGAGGUGGAAUUCCGACGUGUAGCGGUGAAAUGCGUAGAGAAUGUGGAGGAACACCGAUGGCGAAGGCAGCCUCCUGGGCCAACACUGACGCUCAUGCACGAAAGCGUGGGGAGCAAACAGG
rnacentral:rRNA from 1 species